rnacentral:rRNA from 1 species
GACGAACGCUGGCGGCGUGCCUAACACAUGCAAGUCGAACGGAAAGGUUUUGAAAGAUUUCUGCGGAAGGAAGGUGAUUGAGUGUAGUAGCGGAGGGGUGAGUAACGCGGGAGUAAGCUGCCUUCAAGAGGGGAAUAACAUUCUGAAAAGAAGACUAAUAGCGCAUGACAGAUCGGAACAACAUGGUGGUGAUAUCAAAGCGUUUAUCGCUUGAAGAGGGACUCGGGUGCGAUGAGUUAGUUGGUGAGGUAACGGCGCAGCAAGACCGCGAUGGGUAGCCGGACUGAGAGGUUGACCAGCCACAUUGGGACUGAGACACCGCCCACACUCCUACGGGAGGAAGCAGUGGUGGAUCUUGAGCAAUGGGGGCCACCCUGACGCAGCCCCGCCGCGUGAAGGAUGCCGGUUUUUGGAAUGCAACCUUCUUUUAUUACGGACGAAAAAUGACGGUACUUAAUGAAUAAGCUCCGGCUAACUACGUG